rnacentral:rRNA from 1 species
UUCGUUAACGAACGAGACCUUAUUCUGCUAAAUAGUUACGUUAACUUUGGUUGACGGUCAACUUCUUAGAAAAACUAUGGAUGUUUAAUCCAUGGAAGUUUGAGGCAAUAACAGGUCUGUGAUGCCCUUAGAUGUUCUGGGCCGCACGCGCGCUACACUGAUAAAGGCAGCAAGUUAUUUGCCUUGGCCGGAAGGUCUGGGUAAUCUUCUGAAACUUUAUCGUGCUGGGAAUAGUCCUUUGCAAUUAUUGGACUUCAACGAGGAAUUCCUAGUAAGCGUGAGUCAUCAGCUCGCGUUGAUUACGUCCCUGCCCUUUGUACACACCGCCCGUCGCUAAUACCGAUUGAAUGGAUA